rnacentral:rRNA from 1 species
GUUUGAUCAUGGCUCAGGAUGAACGCUAGCUACAGGCUUAACACAUGCAAGUCGAACGAAGCACUUUAUUUGAUUUCCUUCGGGAUUGAUUAUUUUGUGACUGAGUGGCGGACGGGUGAGUAACGCGUGGGUAACCUGCCUUGUACAGGGGGAUAACAGUUGGAAACGGCUGCUAAUACCGCAUAAGCGCACAGCAUCGCAUGAUGCAGUGUGAAAAACUCCGGUGGUAUAAGAUGGACCCGCGUUGGAUUAGCUAGUUGGUGAGGUAACGGCCCACCAAGGCGACGAUCCAUAGCCGACCUGAGAGGGUGACCGGCCACAUUGGGACUGAGACACGGCCCAAACUCCUACGGGAGGCAGCAGUGGGGAAUAUUGCACAAUGGGCGAAAGCCUGAUGCAGCGACGCCGCGUGAGCGAAGAAGUAUUUCGGUAUGUAAAGCUCUAUCAGCAGGGAAGAAGAAAUGACGGUACCUGACUAAGAAGCACCGGCUAAAUACGUGCCAGCAGCCGCGGUAAUACGUAUGGUGCAAGCGUUAUCCGGAUUUACUGGGUGUAAAGGGAGCGCAGGCGGUACGGCAAGUCUGAUGUGAAAGCCCGGGGCUCAACCCCGGUACUGCAUUGGAAACUGUCGGACUAG